CACCUUAGCAAUGAAGAGAAGUGGUAUCUAUGAACUCCAGCUAUUCAAAAGGACUCCAAAUCUGAAAUCGGAUCAAAAUUUCGAGUCAGAACGCUUUUCGAACGGUCAAAAACGGAGCUGGUCACGGUUUGCGGAAAAGUCAACUCGCUGGUCAAAGGUCAACCCGGUCAACCCUGGACCAGAAAUCGAUUUGAUUAAACCGACCGGUUUACCCUAACCAAACCGAAAUUAAUUUAAACCGGUCAAACAAGUCAACCCACCGGUUUACCGAGUCAGCCGAGUUGACUCGCUGAGUUGACUCAGCCGAGUUGACCGAGUCACCGGCGAGUCACCGGUGUCGGUCACCGGAGGCCAAGGCGGAGCUGCGGCGGCUUACCGGAAAGUUGCCCGGCGGCGACGGCGGAACUACGGCGGAGGACGGCGGCGGAGACGAUUUCCGACAGCGGCGCGUGGCCGUCAAGCGCUCGGACGACGAAACUUGCGGAGGCGCGUGCGGGCUCAUCUGGGCUCCGAUUGCGGCGCAGUCGGCGGCUACGGCUUCGUCUCGUCGAGAGGAACAUGAUGAUGGCCUUGGAUGCACGAUAUUCGCAGCGUUUAAGAAGUUAUGGCCGAUUUACUGAACGGAUGAAAACAAAGCUUAAGAGGCAGCGGUUUCUGGCGAUUCUCAGCUGUGGCGAACGGUGGUGACAAGCUUGGUGAAGUCUCAAUGUACGGUGGUUCUAGGGCGAGCUCAGGUGGCUCCAAUCUCUCUCUCUCUCUCUCUCUCUCUCUCUCUCUCUCU
rnacentral:lncRNA from 1 species